UACGUAGGGGGCAAGCGUUGUCCGGAGUUACUGGGCGUAAAGGGCACGCAGGCGGUUGUGUCAGUUUGCGGGGACAGUGGGUGGCUUAACUACCCAAGGGUCGCAAAGACGGCACGACUGGAGAGCGAGAGAGGGACCUGGAACUCCGGGUGGAGCGGUGAAAUGCGUAGAGAUCCGGAAGAACACCACUGGCGCAGGCAAGGUCCUGGCUCGUAUCUGACGCUGAGGUGCGAAAAGCUAGGGGAGCGAACGGG
rnacentral:rRNA from 1 species